UUUAUUUUAUCAAAGUGAGUAACUUGUUACUCACUCAUGAAAGAAAACGACCUUACUCACUUUUGAGUAAACACUAACAUAUUCGACUCACUUUGGAACUGUCAAAUACUUGUGAAAAUUUCGGCUUCCAAGUUUAGGAGUAAAUAUUGUUGUAAGAAUAUGUAUUAUACUAGUAAAACAGUGCUUAAAAUCUGUAGAAUUACCUAUAACGAAUGAGCAAUAGAUGAUUUAUUGUUACUGUUAUUAUUAAUUCCGAUAUCAAGUGAAGCGAGAUCGGAGUUUUUGAAGGUAACCAAGUCCUGGUUUUGAUCGAACAACCGCGAGAAAAAAGUUUAUAUACAUCUUUCCGAAAAAGCUACUGGCUUGGGCAAACAUCCGGAUCAACAUCCAGCGAAUGAAUAUUCACCGGAAGAACAUUGAGUGG